GUGCUCACAUCAGCAGCACAUAUGCUACAACUGGAACCAUGCAGACAGCACAGACCAUGUGUAAGAAAGACACUUACAUUCAAGAAGCAUUCCAUUUUUUA
ensembl:snRNA U6 U6 spliceosomal RNA